AACCAGGUGGCGAGGGUGCCACUACCACGUGGCAACGUGGCUGAUAUCUGUGCAUCGAGUUUAAGAUUAUCUGAAACAGAAUACGUAUAAACAUUUACAGAGAGUCUUGGGAAAAAUCUGUCCUUGGAUAUAUACAAGCAUCUCAAGUUUUUUCGACGAUCCUCUGGUAUAAUCGUUAUUGGAAGAUAGUGGUCGUAAGGGGGUAAGAAGAAACGAAGAGGAAGAAGAAUCGAAAGAAAGAAAAAAAAACACACGUGAGGACCUUCCUUUUUCUGGAGGAAGGACCACCGCAGGGGGGCGGUCACGAUGUUUGACAGCCACAAGAGACUCGGUGACUAAUUAGUGUAAAAACUAACCCUGCGACCUACUCCGGCAACCCGACACCCUCGUCCUUCCUCCCGCGCACACUUACUGGCAUAUGCCGAGGCAUGUGUCUCUUUGGAUACAUCGAAAGAAGAGCAUAGAGGGGAAUGGAAGGAGGAAAAGAAGAGUCAUCGCAAUACGGAAAAGUGUCUGUGUGGCCUGACACUGGCAACCAAGGAAUUUCGACACGCGAUUUUCCUUUUCCUUUUAUUCUUUAUUUGUUCCGCUUCAUUGAGAGGUAAUCGUUAACUCAAAGGAGGACAAUUGACUAGAAACGCCAAGGUUUCUUUGUAAUCGGUAUUUUUAUCUUGCUAUGUUUCUCACGCGGAAAAACAUAAGAGGAUAAAGCACCAAUUAAAAAGUCGAAAUCGUCCAGUAUUUCACUACGUUGGAUUCCAAUUUUUUACAAAGCCUGGUUGGCAGGUCUGUUCAAGAGCAAUUAAAGGAACAAACUGUUUCGUGGCACGUGAAAGAAGGGUCCACGAGUCAAAAUUCUUUCUGCGCGUAAAGCAAUAAAUUCUGAAAGGGAACACGAGCCAAAACCACCAAGAGGUUUCUCUCUCUCUCUAUAAGCGAACGGGUUCAAGAAAAUGCGUUUCAACAAAACAGUGGUAAAUCAGGAGCAAGAGCAACCGGAUGGAAAGCAAUCCUAAGAGGACAAAUCGUGACAUUAUCUUCCGACUAGCGUCUUGAUCCGAAGAUUCGCGCACCGUCCUCCCGCUGAUUAGUGACUGAAGCCGGAUCAAAUUCAUUAAUCGAUACAAAAAGAUUCAGAGGAUUGAUUCUCCUGGGAAGAAAGGAAUCGAGCUAAGAAAUUUACCGUGCAUCGCUCAGGCCCUUAUAAUUUCUCGGGGAAGACGUGCUCGUAUCUCAGGUCAAUUAAGGCGAACUCGUCCGUAAACGACAAACACGUGGAACGCGAUACUGUCGCAAACGCUCCUCUGCAUCCCUCGUUCUACUUUAUUACGUGCGUAGUAUCUUAUGAUAAAUCAAAGAGCAUUUAGAAAAGUUGAAGAUGAUAGAGAAAAACGAUUGAAGUUACGAGGUAAGGUAUCCAUGCGGCAUAGUUUUGUUACAAUUGUC